AAAUGUGAGGGAAAUCUGAUUGCAAAGUCUGUCACUCCACUGAUUGCCAGGGUUGAUUCCACUGAUCUAGCUGCCUAGGUGGGUGUCCUCUUUCUCCCCCACUGCUCUGUAUGCAUCCCUCCUGAGGCUGUACCUUUGGUAGAAGAGGAUGACCAUUCUGCUAGAGGAGAAACAUUCUUUGGUCAAGAAUAUAUGAGCAGCCACGCUCCCCUGCCAGAACCCCCAAACAAACUCUUAAGAGUACAUUGUUCCCUUUAUGCGAGAAUAACUGACUAGUUAAAAGAAAGAUAUUGCCACAAUCUUUGAAUAUUUUCAGAGUUGU
rnacentral:snRNA from 1 species